UUUUCCUGCAGUGUCCUUUUAUGAUCCAGCAAGAUUUUUGGCUCCUGCAGACUGAAAAGAGUAAAGAAAGAUUGUUUUGUGAAGAAGACGAAGAUGGGGAAACUGAGCCUCAGAAAGGAAAGUGACCUUCACACAGGCAUUCAGUGGGUCACACACAAUGGUGAAAUUCAAAAGAAGAUUUCUUCUGACUAUCAGACUGAGCAAUGAGGAAAUAUUAGAAGUGAAAAUAAAUUGAUGUUGGCGAUACAAAGUCUGAUGGCGAUACAAAGUAUUACCCAAAAAACCGUGGUAAUAAGGAACUUAAAAAAGGUACUGACAUUUGCUUUGGGUGAUGCAGCCGUGUGUCUCUGUCCGGAUGGAAAGAGUGAGAGAGAGAGAGAGACUACCUUCCUGCACCUCUCUCUGUGUCAGCAUUUUGCCCAUUGCUCUGGUGGAUUCUGAGAGAGUUUUGAGUAUUUCGUAGUGGUCUUCCUAUUCAGGGCGAUUGGGAGAGGGCAAUCCCUUCAGACUGGGGCGGAAUUAGAUCAGGUUUGAGUUUCAUUCUGAGGAGGGCUCCCUGCAGCACUUAUUCUCCCUAUCUAUGUGAGGCCUGCUGAGAAGGCAUGCCAGGCAGCAGGGAGGAGUCCCCUGUCUGUUUGGAUGUGGGAGGGGACAUACAGGGGCACUGUGAUUCAAAUGCAGCAAGGACUGUAAAAGUUUUUGGUAGUUUUCUGGGAUCUACCAGGAGGCCAGCAGAUGUAGCUACUGUUUUGGGUUUCUGUGGGAGGCCAUAUACUAGCCUGACACAAAGGCAUUCCUUCUUUCCAAAACUUCAGCGAAGAAAAAAAAUAUCCUUUUUUUGCUGCCAUCCUGAUCCAAAGAAAAUAGAAGAAAUAAUUUUUAGUUUAUUCAAAUACUUAUAAACAAGGGAUGACUUUGAGCAUUGUUUAUAUAUUGGAAUUAUUUUUAGUUUAUUUAGGUACUGAAGAAUUUAUUAUACCUGGCCCUUCAUAGAAGGAUAAGCAUGAAAUGAGUGCUAAUAAAUAAAUGUAUUGUCAAGGGGAGCAUCACUGUGGAGGAAUUUCAAUAGACUAAAAUGCUGAGAACUUAUGGUGACAGCUGUGGAGGAAUUCACUUACUCCAUUUCUUUUAUGAAAACGGGUGCACUUGAAAUUUUAUGUAUAUAUAACCUGAGUCUUCAUGUGAGCACUGUAUUGAAAAUUAUAUUGAAAACAUUGAUAAGUUUGAGUAUGUAAAAAUAUAAGAAUUUCUGUCCAUCAAAAGAUACCCAAAAGAAAGUAAAAAGGUAAGCUACAAACUGUAAGGAACAUAAAUGUUCUUUGACAGGCAAAUAGAUAAAUAAAUUGUGAUAUAUUCAAAGAAUGAGCUACAUAUCAGGGAA
rnacentral:lncRNA from 10 species